AACGAACGCUGGUGGUAUGCUUAACACAUGCAAGUCGAACGGACUCUCUUAGCUUGCUAAGAGUAAGUCAGUGGCAAACGGGUGAGUAAUACAUAGGAAUCUACCUAGCAGUAAGGAAUAACUCUGGGAAACCAGAGCUAAUGCCAUAUAUUACCGCCUAUUAAUUUAGGCGGGAAAGAUUUAUCGCUGUUAGAUGAGCCUGUGCCGGAUUAGCUUGUUGGUGGGGUAAUGGCCUACCAAGGCAGUGAUCCGUAGCUGGUCUGAGAGGAUGAUCAGCCACACUGGGACUGCGACACGGCCCAG
rnacentral:rRNA from 1 species